CCUCUUUGUUCGGGUCAUUGGGUUGGUGUUGGAGUUGGUCACCAUAUUCUGAACGUUUCACCUAUCGUUGCGGUGUACUGUUCUUGAUCUGCUGCGAAGCGACGAACCGCAACGGCAGUCACUCGCCUCAGCGAACUUCUGUCUGCUGCAUCUCAAAGGAGCAUGGGGACCUGAUGAUACCUUCAACUAAAAAAACCAAAUGUGCUCUCGUGUGGUCCUGACGGAAAAGUAGUAUCAACAAGAACCCUCCACUUUUUCGACCAAGUUAUCGUUAUGAGAUCCUUCUGAUGGCUUCUUACUAGGCUAUGCCGCUCCGAAGCAUUGAGAUGACGAAGCGUCGUGGUAGCUGCACCUCUGCCUUCGAAAGAUGAAUCAGUCAUUCCACACUGUGCUUACUGGCUUUGUAUAGAGUCUGGCAAAUCCGACAGACUUGGACUGCCUUUUUCAAGAAAGUUUGAAAUAGCAUCCCUUAUGCACCUGCAUUUCAAUUCCAAUCUGUAUUACAAGAAUGACAGACCACUCAACAGAGAUGAACAUCUGAAAGUGAAAGAGCUGGAAUGAAGAUACGUUAAUCUGUGUCAAAGGUUCUUAGUAUGUGUGCGAGUCGAGGACAUAGGUCUCAAGCUUACUCCUGUCUCCAGAAGGGGUGACAACUAUGCUCCUUCUAUCUAUUAACCAGCUCCACUUUUUAGGGUUCCCUGUAAACUAAUGGAGCACAUCAUGUACUACCACGUUGUCAACCAAGUUGACUCUGUCAAUUUCUUUUUUUAAAUUCCAGCAUGGCUUUAGAAAAGGGUAUUCAGGCAAAACUAAAGUAGUGGAAUUCGUUCACAGCAUUUCAAACUGUCUUGAUUUCUGGGUCCAUGUAGAUGUAGUAUUCUUUUUAUUUUGUAAGGGCUUUUGACACUGUGCUCUACGCUCGCGUGUUGGCCAAAGUAGCCUAAUUAAAAUUUGAUGCUGCUACCUGGAUAUGCAGUUUCUCAACUAACCGUAACUGUGGCGACAACUCGUGAGGAGAACCUAUCAUAUCGCCGUGCAGCAAUGUUAUGUUAUGUUACAAUCGCUUCACAUUUUAAUCUAGUCAAAAGCAAGGCCUUUUGGUGAUCGGUCUUGUAUAAUUACGUGCCCCUCCGUUAUGUAACACCACACUGGGUUCUUCAACCUAUGAGAGAGAAAUAAAUAUAUUGCCAAGUAAACUGUCUACAAGGCUCGUUAUUCCAUUUCGCCACACUACCACAAGCAAUUGUUAGAGUAGUGGCCCAGGGUAUGAAGCUCGCCACUAAUCAUCAUUCAAACAAAGUUCAUAAUGUAAAAUGCUUUA